GGAAGUAAAAGUCAUAACAAGGUUUCCGUAGGUGAACCUGCGGAAGGAUCAUUGUUGUAUAACCGAGGUGCGAGGGCUGUCGCUGACCCGAAAGGUCGUGCACGCCCGAGUGCCCUCACACACAUCCACCUCACCCCUAUGUGCACCACCGCGUGGGUCCCCCUUUGGCUUGUUCGGAGGGGGGCUUACGUUUUCACACAAACUUUGUAUGCAGUGUAGAAUGUAUUUUUUGUUUUUGCGAUCACGCAAUCAAUACAACUUUCAACAACGGAUCUCUUGGCUCUC
rnacentral:misc_RNA from 1 species